CGGGAGUCGGACUUCAUUCCCGACUUCGACUGCAGGGCGACUUCAACUGCAGGUAGACUCCAUCCAGACUCCUACGGGAGCCGGACUUCAUCCUCGACUUCUACUGCAGGCAGACUUCGUCCGGACUCCUACGGGAGCCGGACUUCACCCCUGACUUCUAUUGCAGAUGGCCCUCGCCUAUAGUACUAACGCUCAAAGCACCCAACGGUGGAUGGCCCGCCAGCAACAUCUGAGCUCC
rnacentral:lncRNA from 1 species